CCUACGGGAGGCAGCAGUGGGGAAUAUUGCACAAUGGGCGAAAGCCUGAUGCAGCGACGCCGCGUGAGGGAUGACGGCCUUCGGGUUGUAAACCUCUUUCAGCAGGGAAGAAGCGAAAGUGACGGUACCUGCAGAAGAAGCGCCGGCUAACUACGUGCCAGCAGCCGCGGUAAUACGUAGGGCGCAAGCGUUGUCCGGAAUUAUUGGGCGUAAAGAGCUCGUAGGCGGCUUGUCACGUCGGAUGUGAAAGCCCGAGGCUUAACCUCGGGUCUGCAUUCGAUACGGGCUAGCUAGAGUGUGGUAGGGGAGAUCGGAAUUCCUGGUGUAGCGGUGAAAUGCGCAGAUAUCAGGAGGAACACCGGUGGCGAAGGCGGAUCUCUGGGCCAUUACUGACGCUGAGGAGCGAAAGCGUGGGGAGCGAACAGGAUUAGAUACCCUGGUAGUCCACGCCGUAAACGUUGGGAACUAGGUGUUGGCGACAUUCCACGUCGUCGGUGCCGCAGCUAACGCAUUAAGUUCCCCGCCUGGGGAUACGGCCGCAAGGCUAAAACGUCAAAUGAAUUGACGG
rnacentral:rRNA from 1 species